CUUUGUUGCAUUCAGCUAACAAUACACACAUACAAAGGUAUUUGUGAGUAGAAAUCAAACUGGAUGGUCUUCGAAGGAUAGAUAGGAGGGGUUGAGGAUAUGGGAUUAAAAGCAAACAAAAGGUGCACCUGCCGCUCAUGGCGGUUCUUUGAGAAAGAGGAGAGAACCAUUCGGGAGAAGCUCCAGGCCCAGCUCCAUCCUCCCAGCAGCCACCACCAGUUAGCUACCAAGCCAACAGAAGCAGCAAUGAAUCAGCACAGAUGAGAAGUAGACAAAUAGAAACAGAUGGAAAGAAGCAGACGGAAUGAAGCAGAAGGAA